rnacentral:rRNA from 1 species
UACGUAGGUGGCAAGCGUUGUCCGGAUUUACUGGGCGUAAAGAGCGCGCAGGCGGUCGAUUUAGUCGCGUGUGAAAGCCCCCGGCUCAACUGGGGAGGGUCACGCGAUACUGAUCGACUGGAAGGCAGGAGAGGGUAGUGGAAUUCCCGGUGUAGUGGUGAAAUGCGUAGAUAUCGGGAGGAACACCAGUGGCGAAGGCGACUACCUGGCCUGUUCUUGACGCUGAGGCGCGAAAGCUAGGGGAGCAAACGGG